rnacentral:rRNA from 1 species
AUGACGCUAGCGGCAGGCUUAACACAUGCAAGUCGAGGGGUAGAGUUCUUCGGAACUUGAGACCGGCGCACGGGUGCGUAACGCGUAUGCAAUCUACCUUUUACAGAGGGAUAGCCCAGAGAAAUUUGGAUUAAUACCUCAUAGUAUAGCUGUACCGCAUGGUACUACUAUUAAAGUCACAACGGUAAAAGAUGAGCAUGCGUCCCAUUAGCUAGUUGGUAAGGUAACGGCUUACCAAGGCUACAUGGGUAGGGGUCCUGAGAGGGAGAUCCCCCACACUGGUACUGAGACACGGACCAGACUCCUACGGGAGGCAGCAGUGAGGAAUAUUGGACAAUGGGCGCAAGCCUGAUCCAGCCAUGCCGCGUGCAGGAUGACGGUCCUAUGGAUUGUAAACUGCUUUUAUACGAGAAGAAACACUACUUCGUGAAGUAGCUUGACGGUAUCGUAAGAAUAAGGAUCGGCUAACUCCGUGCCAGCAGCCGCGGUAAUACGGAGGAUCCAAGCGUUAUCCGGAAUCAUUGGGUUUAAAGGGUCCGUAGGCGGUUUAGUAAGUCAGUGGUGAAAGCCCAUCGCUCAACGGUGGAACGGCCAUUGAUACUGCUAAACUUGAAUUAUUAGGAAGUAACUAGAAUAUGUAGUGUAGCGGUGAAAUGCUUAGAGAUUACAUGGAAUACCAAUUGCGAAGGCAGGUUACUACUAAUGGAUUGACGCUGAUGGACGAAAGCGUGGGU